GCAGAGUAGAAGCCAGUGCGUUAAGUGCCGCCCGGACGGGGAGUUGCCGGGUGGACGAAAAGGGUUCCUUGCGGUAUUGGCUUCGCAUCCCGCUGC
rnacentral:ncRNA from 1 species